rnacentral:rRNA from 1 species
UACAUGGGGUGCAAACGUUGCUCGGAAUUAUUGGGCGUAAAGCGCACGUAGGCGGUUCGUUAAGUCGGAUGUGAAAGCCCUCGGCUCAACUGAGGAAGUGCACCCGAAACUGGCGAGCUUGAGUACGAAAGAGGAUCGCGGAAUUCCCGGUGUAGAGGUGAAAUGCGCAGAUAUCAGGAGGAACACCGAUGGCGAAGGCAGGUCUCUGGGCCACUACUGACGCUGAGAAGCGAAAGCGUGGGGAGCGAACAGG